UACGAAGGGGGCUAGCGUUGCUCGGAAUUACUGGGCGUAAAGCGCACGUAGGCGGAUUGUUAAGUCGGGGGUGAAAUCCUGGAGCUCAACUCCAGAACUGCCUCGAUACUGGCGAUCUCGAGUUCGGGAGAGGUGAGUGGAACUGCGAGUGUAGAGGUGAAAUUCGUAGAUAUUGGGAAGAACACCGAUGGCGAAGGCAGCCAUCUGGACCGACACUGACGCUGAGGCGCGAAAGCGUGGGGAGCAA
rnacentral:rRNA from 1 species